GGGCGAUUAGCUCAGUUGGAUAGAGCGUUGGUCUCCGGAACCAGAGGUCGCGCGUUCGAGUCGCGCAUCGCCCGCCA
rnacentral:tRNA from 5 species